GACGAACGCUGGCGGCGUGCUUUCACAUGCAAGUCGAACGGAAAGGCCCUGCUUUUGUGGGGUGCUCGAGUGGCGAACGGGUGAGUAACACGUGAGUAACCUGCCCUUGACUUUGGGAUAACUUCAGGAAACUGGGGCUAAUACCGGAUAGGAGCUCCUGCUGCAUGGUGGGGGUUGGAAAGUUUCGGCGGUUGGGGAUGGACUCGCGGCUUAUCAGCUUGUUGGUGGGGUAGUGGCUUACCAAGGCUUUGACGGGUAGCCGGCCUGAGAGGGUGACCGGCCACAUUGGGACUGAGAUACGGCCCAGACUCCUACGGGAGGCAGCAGUGGGGAAUAUUGCACAAUGGGCGGAAGCCUGAUGCAGCAACGCCGCGUGCGGGAUGACGGCCUUCGGGUUGUAAACCGCUUUCGCCUGUGACGAAGCGUGAGUGACGGUAAUGGGUAAAGAAGCACCGGCUAACUACGUGCCAGCAGCCGCGGUGAUACGUAGGGUGCGAGCGUUGUCCGGAUCUAUUGGGCGUAAAGGGCUCGUAGGUGGUUGAUCGCGUCGGAAGUGUAAUCUUGGGGCUUAACCCUGAGCGUGCUUUCGAUACGGGUUGACUUGAGGAAGGUAGGGGAGAAUGGAAUUCCUGGUGGAGCGGUGGAAUGCGCAGAUAUCAGGAGGAACACCAGUGGCGAAGGCGGUUCUCUGGGCCUUUCCUGACGCUGAGGAGCGAAAGCGUGGGGAGCGAACAGGCUUAGAUACCCUGGUAGUCCACGCUGUAAACGGUGGGUACUAGGUGUGGGGUCCAUUCCACGGGUUCCGUGCCGUAGCUAACGCUUUAAGUACCCCGCCUGGGGAGUACGGCCGCAAGGCUAAAACUCAAAGGAAUUGACGGGGCCCCGCACAAGCGGCGGAGCAUGCGGAUUAAUUCGAUGCAACGCGUAGAACCUUACCUGGGUUUGACAUGGAUCGGGAGUGCUCAGAGAUGGGUGUGCCUCUUUUGGGGUCGGUUCACAGGUGGUGCAUGGCUGUCGUCAGCUCGUGUCGUGAGAUGUUGGGUUAAGUCCCGCAACGAGCGCAACCCUUGUUCACUGUUGCCAGCACGUUAUGGUGGGGACUCAGUGGAGACCGCCGGGGUCAACUCGGAGGAAGGUGGGGAUGACGUCAAGUCAUCAUGCCCCUUAUGUCCAGGGCUUCACGCAUGCUACAAUGGCUGGUACAGAGAGUGGCGAGCCUGUGAGGGUGAGCGAAUCUCGGAAAGCCGGUCUCAGUUCGGAUUGGGGUCUGCAACUCGACCUCAUGAAGUCGGAGUCGCUAGUAAUCGCAGAACAGCAACGCUGCGGUGAAUACGUUCCCGGGGCU
rnacentral:rRNA from 1 species